UAAAUUUUGUAGAUUUUGAUUUCAAACUUUAAUUUUUUAUUUUGAUUUUGAUAUUUGAACUUGUAUUUAAAAUUAAAAUUUUAAUUUAAAGUGAUAUUAAUAGUUAUAAUAAUUUACUAUUGUAUUAUCUUUCCGCCACAUCGAACUUAUUAAUCAGGAAUCCUUACAGGUUUGAACUGCUCUCCGCAUCCUGCGGAAGGUCUGCAAUAAAUAAUAUUUUAAAAUAUUAAUGCAUAAUCAAAAAAAUAAUAUUAAUAGUUAUAAUAAUUUACUGUUGUAUUGUCUUCCCGCCGCAAAGCGCGGGCCCCUUAACUAGUUAUCUAUGAUGUCGUGUAUCUGGCCGUCUAAACGGACAUGUUUUUAUAGAGUCCCACAUCAAAUAAAAAAGAGGUUAUAAUUACACAUAAUGAUUAGAGACUGUAGUUUUAACAACUGUUGUGAGAUCCCAUAUUGUUCUAUAUAUAAGAUAUAAUAGAAUUAAAAUUCUUAACCCGACUUAAGUAUUUUGAGCAGUGAUUAGACCCAAGAGGUUAAAAAAAUUAAACGGGCUAGGACGAAAGUAGUCCUAGGAUUGGCGGUCCUCUGAAAAAUCGGAACGUCACAGUUGGUAUCAGAGCGAAUUAUCAGCCGGAAGUAUGAGAUAAGUCUCAAUUGAGUCAGAAUUAUACAGCAGGAAGAGCGAGGCUCUCAUGCUAUUGACUGUUGUGGAUGGAGCGCAACUCACCACAAGAUCGGUUUAAACUAGCGAGACGAGUUUCAUAUCGCCUGAUACUUGUCAAUCUAAGUUUGACAAGAACGUCGGGGCUUAAGGGGGGAGAAUAUAAAAU
rnacentral:lncRNA from 1 species